CACGUAGGAGGCGAGCGUUGUCCGAAAUCAUUGGGCGUAAAGAGCGCGCAGGCGGCUUGGCAAGUCGGGUGUGAAAUCCCGGGGCUCAACCCCGUGACUGCAUUCGAUACUGUCAGGCUAGAGGUAGGUAGGGGAGAUCGGAAUUCCUGGUGUAGCGGUGAAAUGCGCAGAUAUCAGGAGGAACACCGGUGGCGAAGGCGGAUCUCUGGGCCUUACCUGACGCUCAGGCGCGAAAGCGUGGGGAGCGAACAGG
rnacentral:rRNA from 1 species